rnacentral:rRNA from 1 species
AUUGAACGCUGGCGGCAUGCCUUACACAUGCAAGUCGAACGGCAGCACGGGAGCAAUCCUGGUGGCGAGUGGCGAACGGGUGAGUAAUAUAUCGGAACGUGCCCAGUCGUGGGGGAUAACGCAGCGAAAGCUGUGCUAAUACCGCAUACGAUCUAUGGAUGAAAGCGGGGGAUCGCAAGACCUCGCGCGAUUGGAGCGGCCGAUAUCAGAUUAGGUAGUUGGUGGGGGAAAGGCUCACCAAGCCGACGAUCUGUAGCUGGUCUGAGAGGACGACCAGCCACACUGGAGCUGAGACACGGUCCAGACUCCUACGGGAGGCAGCAGUGGGGAAUUUUGGACAAUGGGCGCAAGUCUGAUCCAGCAAUGCCGCGUGCAGGAAGAAGGCCUUCGGGUUGUAAACUGCUUGUGUACGGAACGAAACGGUCCGGGUUAAUACCCUGGGCUAAUGACGGUACCGUAAGAAUAAGCACCGGCUAACUACGUGCCAGCCGCCGCAGUAAGAC